rnacentral:rRNA from 1 species
UACGGGGGGGGCAAGCGUUGUUCGGAAUUACUGGGCGUAAAGGGCGCGUAGGCGGCACCGCAAGUCGACUGUGAAAUCUCCGGGCUUAACCCGGAAAGGUCAGCCGAUACUGCGGGGCUAGAGUGCAGAAGGGGCAACUGGAAUUCUCGGUGUAGCGGUGAAAUGCGUAGAUAUCGAGAGGAACACCUGCGGCGAAGGCGGGUUGCUGGGCUGACACUGACGCUGAUGCGCGAAAGCUAGGGGGGCGAACGGG